CAGAAUUCGCCCUUGGAAGUAAAAGUCGUAACAAGGUCUCCGUAGGUGAACCUGCGGAGGGAUCAUUACACAAAUAUGAAGGCGGGCUGGAACCUCUCGGGGUUACAGCCUUGCUGAAUUAUUCACCCUUGUCUUUUGCGUACUUCUUGUUUCCUUGGUGGGUUCGCCCACCACUAGGACAAACAUAAACCUUUUGUAAUUGCAAUCAGCGUCAGUAACAAAUUAAUAAUUACAACUUUCAACAACGGAUCUCUUGGUUCUGGCAUCGAUGAAGAACGCAGCGAAAUGCGAUAAGUAGUGUGAAUUGCAGAAUUCAGUGAAUCAUCGAAUCUUUGAACGCACAUUGCGCCCUUUGGUAUUCCAAAGGGCAUGCCUGUUCGAGCGUCAUUUGUACCCUCAAGCUUUGCUUGGUGUUGGGCGUCUUGUCUCUAGCUUUGCUGGAGACUCGCCUUAAAGUAAUUGGCAGCCGGCCUACUGGUUUCGGAGCGCAGCACAAGUCGCACUCUCUAUCAGCAAAGGUCUAGCAUCCAUUAAGCCUUUUUUUCAACUUUUGACCUCGGAUCAGGUAGGGAUACCCGCUGAACUUAAGCAUAUCAAUAAGCGGAGGAAAGGGCGAAUUC
rnacentral:rRNA from 1 species